rnacentral:miRNA from 1 species
GUUUACAAAUUUUAAAAAAAUUUGAAAACCAUUUGAUACUUGAUUUCAUUAAUUCAAAUUAAUAAAUAAUUAUAAAAAUAUUUUAUACGUUGAUUUGAAUUAAUGAAAAGAAGUAUCAAAUGAUUUUCAAAUUUUUAAAAAUUUACAGAUU